AUUGCAUUUUGUCCUUUCUACUCAAAAAAUAGGCAAAUUAGUCCCUAUACAUUAGAUCAAAGAGCAAACUGGUCUUCCAAUUAAAAAUUUUAUCUAUUUUUACUAUUAAAAGCUGGUCAUUGUACAUUAACAUGAGGUACACGUGGCACAUCACGUGUACUAUUUGGUUAUUCCGUCAGCCACAUAUGUUUUUAACAAUACAAAUAGAUGAAAUUUUUAAUAGAAAUGACUGAUUUGCUCUAUGAUUUAAUGUAUAGUGACUAAUUUGCUUAUUUUUUAAUAGAGGGGGAAAAAUGCGGUUUGACUCUUAAUACCGAGACCUUCAUGGUACUUUUACCAAGAUGUAAACAAUAAGAGCCUUACCCUUGAGUCUCGUGCAAAGCCGUUGAAGUUCUUGUUGCCAUUCCAUAACAUCUCUCUAAAUAUUACAUUGUCCCAAAACACUGCCUUAUACCGAUUUAGCAAACACACAAACAACAAAUAGAUGAUCCUUUGUUUCAUGGUUUCCUUGGCAUAGUAGACAAUGACCCUCUAUGCUCAUCUCUCUUUAAUAAGCCUGUCAUUUGUGGAAAAUUUAUUCACAAUAGCCAUCAAAGCUAGAAAAUAGAUUGUUCUGGUAUAAGAAGUAGAUACCAAACAACCUUAUGCCACAUAACUUUUUCUACACUCUUUUCGAAUUUCAUUUUAAAAUGCAGUAACAGUUAACUAGUUGUCCCUUACUCCCAAACUAGAUAACAUGGGUGCAACUUCUCGGCCAAUGUCUCUAGAGCAUUCUUGGCUACCAAAGGAUGCAGGGGACGUGAAACCAGUUGGAUUGAUUGAUGUUAUGAGUGGGAUUGAGAAGAUGAAUUAUCGGAUUCCACUAUCAGUUUGGUUUUUCCUUUUCCGAAUCUUAUUAAGAUUUUUCAACAUUGUACUCGGGCACAUAUGUAUGGUUGAUAUGUAGGCUUGGACCCUUUGGAACUGAAGUCGCUAGGGUGCUUAGCAGUGGCCUUGUUCCUGGUUUAUUGGUUUUGAUUGGUGGUGAUCCUGGCGUCGGAAAGAGUACCCUACUGUUGCAGGUAGAAGUUUGCAGCAUUUAAGAGCCAACGUUCGUGCUUUUUUCUGUUAUCUUGUUCUGGAAAUUUUUCUUUUUGAAAAAGGAAACUCUUCUGUCGUCAACUCAUAUGAUCUGCUCAUACGUUUGUUGGAAAUGGCCGUCUUAUUAUAAUAUUGAGUUCACGUCUUACUUGAAGGAUGGCGGCACUAAUUGCUGACGGGCAUGACUCAGAUCGACAUGCUUCUGUUGUAUGUGUCUCUGAUGAAGAGUUUAGUUUCUCUGAUGUGUCAUAUUGGUCUGUCAGCAGCAUCAUGCUUUACAAGCUUAAUAGGUUAUAAUUUGCACAUACUGAAAAGUCAGAAACCUGAGUAGUUAGUACUAAUAAUAAUAGUGCCUCUUUUACCAUGAAUACGCAGCACUAAUUUGAGUUAAAUCAAUUUCUGGCUUCAACGUGGUACAGUGUUGAACAAAUUAGUAGCAGAACCAAAUGCAUGAAGAUUUGAGCAAACAGACUAUAUCUAUACACUGGUACUGAUAUCAAGGCUAUGAUUCUUUGACAAGCAAGCUGGCAUAAAGAUCCAAGCCAAAGUAAGAGUUACUAUUUACUGUUUCUUCUCUCUGGUUCAGUGUCUGCCUCUUCUGUCUCAAAGGUGGGGGCUACUAUCCCUUCAUCCUUAGCAUGUGGUUCUUUUAGUGUUCUUUUUUUUUUUUUUCUUCUUGUUGUUGUUGGCCAAAAACACUUUCGUUCAUUUCAUAACAGAAAACAACAGUCGACAAAAUCAACCGCAACCAAGAUGUCCAAGCAUUAGACAGAAACGAGAAUAAGAGCUGCGAAACUGGGAUUAUAUAGAAAGAUGCUAAAAUUUGUUGUAUUGCUUUAUUAGGUACGGAGGAUGGACAAAAGAGUCAGUACAGCUGCGAAACUAGGAUAUAAGGACUGUAUUGUGCCAAUGUCAGCUGGGCAACUCUUGAUUUCGGGGAACUGGUGAUUAUUGGCUGCAAUCAUCAAUAAUUAGUGAAAAACACAGGAACAUCAUUGGUCUGAAAAAAACAUGCAUCAUAUCAUCAUCAUCUGUAUGUUCAAUUGUGAAGUUUUUGUUGUAUAUGGUCCUUCAAGAACAGAAAGGAUGAAGGCCCUUUUUCUUUAUCUAACUGUGGAUUGUGUAGUAUACAUAAAAUGGCUCUUGUUAUGUUUCCCAUCAGCUAUAUCUUUGUUUGAA